rnacentral:tRNA from 1 species
GCCUCUGUGGCGAAAUUGGUAGACGCGACAGACUCAAAAUCUGUUUCUAGCAAUAGAGUGCUGGUUCAAGUCCGGCCAGAGGUACCA